UACGUAGGGUGCAAGCGUUAAUCGGAAUUACUGGGCGUAAAGCGUGCGCAGGCGGUGAUGUAAGACAGAUGUGAAAUCCCCGGGCUCAACCUGGGAACUGCAUUUGUGACUGCAUCGCUGGAGUACGGCAGAGGGGGAUGGAAUUCCGCGUGUAGCAGUGAAAUGCGUAGAGAUCGGGAGGAACACCAGAGGCGAAGGCGGCGACCUGGACAGAUACUGACACUCAACUACGAAAGCGUGGGGAGCAAACAGG
rnacentral:rRNA from 1 species